ensembl:lncRNA
GAGCCAGAGGGAAUACGCAUGCGCACCCUGCACUGGCCCCAUGUGGCUGAUAGGAGAGCCAGAGGGAAUACGCAUGCGCACCCUGUGCUGGCUGGUGUGGCUGGGCCUCUUUGCUCAUUCACCUCUGCCUUUGUUUCCUAUGCUUGCAUUUCUCUACCCGCUUUUGGGCUGACUCUAGUCUUUCUCCACACCAGUGCUCAGGCACCUUUGAGUGCUCAUUUCGCUUUGCCUGGACUUUUUCUGAUCUUAUUAAAAUUUUCAAAGACAGGAAACAAAACUACGUCUCAAAUUGAAAAUCACAAAAACUGGCAAAACCUAUCAUCAUGGAUAUUUAUUUGUCCCUUUUUUUCAAAUCUUGAAUUCCUAAAGGUAGAAAUUAUUUUUUUUCCAAAUGAAAAGUCCAUGAGCAUAUAGAUGCAGAGUUAAAAGUAGCUAAUAAGAUGAUUAAGCAAGUUGCCAGUUCCAACAGCAAACAGGCUCUGAGGACUGAAUCUAUAACUGUGAUGUAUACUUGGGGCCCUAUCUGCCUAGAGCCAGAGCACGGCACUAUGUCAGACAGCCUAUGGGAAGAAUCCACAGCUUUUGUCUCAGAUUUUCUGAAUUUCCACAAAGAUAACAAGAC